GUGGCGAACGGGUGAGUAACACGUGGGUAAUCUGCCCUGUACUCUGGGAUAAGCCUGGGAAACUGGGUCUAAUACCGGAUAUGACCUUUCACCGCAUGGUGGGGGGUGGAAAGUUCCGGCGGUAUGGGAUGAACCCGCGGCCUAUCAGCUUGUUGGUGGGGUAAUGGCCUACCAAGGCGACGACGGGUAGCCGGCCUGAGAGGGUGACCGGCCACACUGGGACUGAGACACGGCCCAGACUCCUACGGGAGGCAGCAGUGGGGAAUAUUGCACAAUGGGCGCAAGCCUGAUGCAGCGACGCCGCGUGAGGGAUGACGGCCUUCGGGUUGUAAACCUCUUUUAGUAGGGAAGAAGCAAAGUGUUUUACAUGGAGUGACGGUACCUGCAGAAAAAGCACCGGCUAACUACGUGCCAGCAGCCGCGGUAAUACGUAGGGGGCAAGCGUUGUCCGGAUUCACUGGGCGUAAAGCGCGCGCAGGCGG
rnacentral:rRNA from 1 species